CCUACGGGAGGCAGCAGUGAGGAAUCUUGGUCAAUGGACGGAAGUCUGAACCAGCCAUGCCGCGUGCAGGAAGACGGCUCUAUGAGUUGUAAACUGCUUUUGUACAAGGGUAAACCUGAAUACGUGUAUUCAGCUGAAAGUACUGUACGAAUAAGGAUCGGCUAACCUCGUGCCAGCAGCCGCGGUAAUACGGAGGAUACAAGCGUUAUCCGGAUUGAUUGGGUUUAAAGGGUGCGUAGGCGGAUUGAUAAGUUAGAUGUGAAAUGUCCGGGCUUAACUCGGGAACUGCCUCUAAUACUGUUGAUCUAGAGAGUAGAAGCGGUAGGCGGAAUGUAAGGUGUAGCGGUGAAAUGCGUAGAGAUCAGACAGAACACCGAUUGCGAAGGCAGCUUACCAAUCUAUAUCUGACGUUGAGGCACGAAAGCGUGGGGAGCAAACAGGAUUAGAUACCCUAGUAGUC
rnacentral:rRNA from 1 species